GCCUUCGUGGUGCAAUGGUCAGCACAUUCGGCGCGUAUUCGAAAGAUCCGAGGUUCGAGUCCCGGCUAGGGCA
rnacentral:tRNA from 1 species